rnacentral:rRNA from 1 species
GAAUUUUGGACAAUGGGCGAAAGCCUGAUCCAGCAAUGCCGCGUGCAGGAUGAAGGCCUUCGGGUUGUAAACUGCUUUUGUACGGAACGAAAAGCUUUGGGUUAAUACCCUGGAGUCAUGACGGUACCGUAAUAAUAAGCACAGGCUAACUACGGCCCAGCAGCCGACGUAACACGUAGGGUGCAAGUGUUAAUCGGAAUUAAUGGGCGGAGAGCGUGCGCAGGCGGUUUUGUAGGACAGAGGUGAAAUACCCGGGCUCAACCUGGGAACUGCCUUUGUGACUGCAAGGAUAGAGUACGGCAGAGGGGGGUGGAAUUCCGCGUGUAGCAGUGAAAUGCGUAGAUAUGCGGAGGAACACCGAUGGCGAAGGCAACCCCCUGGGCCUGUACUGACGCUCAUGCACGAAAGCGUGGGGAGCAAACAGG